rnacentral:tRNA from 1 species
CGAGGUGUGGCUCAGCUUGGUAGAGCGCUGCGUUCGGGACGCAGAGGUCGCGUGUUCGAAUCACGUCGCCUCGA